AGAUUGAACGCUGGCGGCAGGCCUAACACAUGCAAGUCGAGCGGCAGCACGGGUACUUGUACCUGGUGGCGAGCGGCGGACGGGUGAGUAAUGCCUAGGAAUCUGCCUGAUAGUGGGGGGAUAACGUUCGGAAACGGACGCUAAUACCGCAUACGUCCUACGGGAGAAAGUGGGGGAUCUUCGGACCUCACGCUAUCAGAUGAGCCUAGGUCGGAUUAGCUAGUUGGUAGGGUAAAGGCCUACCAAGGCUACGAUCCGUAACUGGUCUGAGAGGAUGAUCAGUCACACUGGAACUGAGACACGGUCCAGACUCCUACGGGAGCAGCAGUGGGAAUAUUGGACAAUGGGCAAAGCCUGAUCCAGCCAUGCCGCGUGUGUGAAGAGGUCUUCGGAUUGUAAAGCACUUUAAGUUGGAGGAAGGCAGUUAACCUAAUACGUUAGUGUUUUAGACGUUACGACAGAAUAAGCACCGGCUAACUCUGUGCCUAGCAGCCGUACG
rnacentral:rRNA from 1 species